CCAGAGAUGGAUUGGUGCCUUCGGGAACUCUGAGACAGGUGCUGCAUGGCUGUCGUCAGCUCGUGUUGUGAAAUGUUGGGUUAAGUCCCGCAACGAGCGCAACCCUUAUCCUUUGUUGCCAGCGGUUAGGCCGGGAACUCAAAGGAGACUGCCAGUGAUAAACUGGAGGAAGGUGGGGAUGACGUCAAGUCAUCAUGGCCCUUACGAGUAGGGCUACACACGUGCUACAAUGGCGCAUACAAAGAGAAGCGACCUCGCGAGAGCAAGCGGACCUCAUAAAGUGCGUCGUAGUCCGGAUUGGAGUCUGCAACUCGACUCCAUGAAGUCGGAAUCGCUAGUAAUCGUGGAUCAGAAUGCCACGGUGAAUACGUUCCCGGGCCUUGUACACACCGCCCGUCACACCAUGGGAGUGGGUUGCAAAAGAAGUAGGUAGCUUAACCUUCGGGAGGGCGCUUACCACUUUGUGAUUCAUGACUGGGGUGAAGUCGUAACAAGGUAACCGUAGGGGAACCUGCGGUUGGAUCACCUCCUU
rnacentral:rRNA from 1 species